GACGAACGCUGGCGGCGUGCCUAAUACAUGCAAGUUGAGCGCUGAAGGUUGGUACUUGUACCAACUGGAUGAGCAGCGAACGGGUGAGUAACGCGUGGGGAAUCUGCCUUUGAGCGGGGGACAACAUUUGGAAACGAAUGCUAAUACCGCAUAAAAACUUUAAACACAAGUUUUAAGUUUGAAAGAUGCAAUUGCAUCACUCAAAGAUGAUCCCGCGUUGUAUUAGCUAGUUGGUGAGGUAAAGGCUCACCAAGGCGAUGAUACAUAGCCGACCUGAGAGGUGGAUGGGCAACAUUGGAACUGGACACGGGCCAAAAUCCCACCGGGGGGAGGCAGAGGGAAACUUUGGGCAAUGGCGAAAAGUUGAACGGGCAACGGCGGGGGGGUGGAAAAGGGUUUCGGGUUGGUAAAACCCUUUUGUAGGGGAGGAAGGUGGUGGGGGUGGGAAAGCCAACCAGGUACGGGAACCUACCAGAAAGGGACGGCUAACUACGUG
rnacentral:rRNA from 1 species